AAUUUCCCGUGUGUCUGCGUGGCUCUCAUUCCUUUCUUCUCAUCCGCGUGGCUCUCAUGCUUUUCUUCUCAUUCUUGGCCUGUUCUUGGUUUUGGGAGCACCGCUUCAAUUCCUCGUUCUUCUUCUUAGCUUUCUCUGGCCAGUGGCGGUCAGCAAUUUUCUCUUUUGGUUAUACUGAGUUGUGCCCUGUUCUCUCACCAUCGAAGUUCACUGAUACAAUCGCUCUGUUUUCUCCAUCUCUCCGUCUCUGCUUCACCCUACACAUCGCCGCCCUUUCAAUCACCUACUGAGAGAUGACGCAUUCCAGUUGAACGUUCUCAAGGCGCGCAUGAAAUAAUCAACCGGAUAGCUUUGCUUUUUCUUGCUGCUCUCUCUAAGUUGCUCUACACACUUUUCCAAACCCUGUGCCAAUCCUUUCUUAUGAGAGCUGCUUGAAGAAUUUAAGUAAAACUCAUCUCCAGUAUCUUCGAUGCUUCCAAGUGUGGUGUUAUUCAGCUCAAUAGUGGCUUCGCUCAAACUCCUCAGAUGAGGUCUUCAUGGAAAAAUCUUUCUCAAUACAAAAGGGGAUAUAGCAUAUAUAGGUAUUGCUAUUAAUCCUGAUACCUGAACAAAGUCCGCCGAUUCAGGAAGUGAUCCAAGCUGGUGUUGUCCCUCGUUUUGUUCAUUAUCUUAUUACGGAGGAUUUCCUCAACUUCAGCUUCAAGCUCAUUAUUCCCCAUCCUGCGUACAAAAUGAAGAUUAUAUUUGUUUGGUGUUACGUAUAAAUGUCUUUUUCCAUCCUUUGCAAAUUUGUAGUUUGAGGCAGCUUGGGCUCUCACAAACAUUGCUUCCGGGACAUCUAUGCACACUAAGGUUGUAAUAGACAAUGGUGUUGUUCCCAUAUUCGCACAGCUUCUUAGUUCUCCCAGCAAUGAUGCCCGUGAACAGGCUGUAUGGGCUCCGUGAAACGUGGUUGGUGAUUCCCCAAAAUGCCGUGAUCUUGUUCCUGGUCAUGGAGCUCUAGGUCCUUUGUUGGCUUAGCUAAAUGAGCAUGCAAACUAUCAUUGUUGCGAAAUGCCACGUGGACACUAUCUAAUUUCUGCAGAGGCAAGUUUCAGCCAUAUUUUGACAAGAGAGAAUGCAAAAGUUCAGUUGGAUUACAUACUCAACGUCACCAAAGGCUCGUGUAAUUACGCUGGAUGGAUUGAGAAAAAUUCUCAGGAGUCAUUAGCGUUUAUUUUGAACCUAAAUGAAUUGGUUGGCUAUACUAUUAUAAUUGCCGUUUACUUUUGCUUUAGUUUUGUGUACAAGAUUAAUAUAGUAUAUGCUAGCCCACUAUAGCUGUUAUGUAUAUACAUAUUUUUUCAGAAACGGUAGGAAUUGUAUUAAUGAUUUAAUGCUUUACAUUUGGUGAGCAAAGGCUCCUAAAAGGCUAUACAAAAGUGUUAGAUCACAAGGAUUGUUCCAUUCCUCAUCA